GACGAACGCUGGCGGCGUGCUUAACACAUGCAAGUCGAACGGAAAGGCCCUGCUUUUGUGGGGUGCUCGAGUGGCGAACGGGUGAGUAACACGUGAGUAACCUGCCCUUGACUUUGGGAUAACUUCAGGAAACUGGGGCUAAUACCGGAUAGGAGCUCCCGCUGCAUGGUGGGGGUUGGAAAGGUUCGGCGGUUGGGGAUGGACGCGCGGCUUAUCAGCUUGUUGGUGGGGUAGUGGCUUACCAAGGCUUUGACGGGUAGCCGGCCUGAGAGGGUGACCUGCCACAUUGGGACUGAGAUACGGCCCAGACCCCUACGGGAGGCAGAAGUGGGGAAUAUUGCACAAUGGGAGGAAGCCUGAUGCAGCAACGCCGCGUGCGGGAUGACGGCAUUCGGGUUGUAAACCGCUUUCGCCUGUGACGAAGCGUGAGUGACGGUAAUGGGUAAAGAAGCACCGGCUAACUACGUG
rnacentral:rRNA from 1 species